rnacentral:rRNA from 1 species
UACGAGGGGGGCAAGCGUUGUUCGGAAUUAUUGGGCGUAAAGGGCGCGUAGGCGGUUUGACAAGUCUGAUGUGAAAUCUAUGGGCUCAACCCAUAGCCUGCAUUAGAAACUGUCGGGCUUGAGUAUGGGAGAGGUGAGUGGAAUUUCCGGUGUAGCGGUGAAAUGCGUAGAUAUCGGAAGGAACACCUGUGGCGAAAGCGGCUCACUGGACCAUAACUGACGCUGAGGCGCGAAAGCCAGGGGAGCAAACGGG